UGCGUAACACGUGAGCAACCUGCCCUUGAGUAUGGAAUAGCCCGACGAAAGUCGGAUUAAUGCCGUAUGUGGCCUUCUUUCGCAUGAAAGAGUGGCUAAAGCUUGUAAUGGCGCUCAAGGAUGGGCUCGCGGCCUAUCAGCUUGUUGGUGAGGUAAAAGCUCACCAAGGCUAAGACGGGUAGCUGGUCUGAGAGGAUGAUCAGCCACACCGGGACUGAGACACGGCCCGGACACCUACGGGUGGCAGCAGUUUCGAAUCAUUCACAAUGGGCGAAAGCCUGAUGGUGCAAUGCCGCGUGGAGGAUGACGGCCCUAGGGUUGUAAACUCCUGUCAUUGGGGAGCAACAAGCAGGUUUAUAGCCUGCCCUGAGUUAACCCA
rnacentral:rRNA from 1 species